rnacentral:rRNA from 1 species
UGAGUUUUGAUCCUGGCUCAGAACGAACGCUGGCGGCAGGCUUAACACAUGCAAGUCGAACGCCCCGCAAGGGGAGUGGCAGACGGGUGAGUAACGCGUGGGAAUCUACCGUGCCCUGCGGAAUAGCUCCGGGAAACUGGAAUUAAUACCGCAUACGCCCUACGGGGGAAAGAUUUAUCGGGGUAUGAUGAGCCCGCGUUGGAUUAGCUAGUUGGUGGGGUAAAGGCCUACCAAGGCGACGAUCCAUAGCUGGUCUGAGAGGAUGAUCAGCCACAUUGGGACUGAGACACGGCCCAAACUCCUACGGGAGGCAGCAGUGGGGAAUAUUGGACAAUGGGCGCAAGCCUGAUCCAGCCAUGCCGCGUGAGUGAUGAAGGCCUUAGGGUUGUAAAGCUCUUUCACCGGAGAAGAUAAUGACGGUAUCCGGAGAAGAAGCCCCGGCUAACUUCGUGCCAGCAGCCGCGGUAAUACGAAGGGGGCUAGCGUUGUUCGGAAUUACUGGGCGUAAAGCGCACGUAGGCGGAUAUUUAAGUCAGGGGUGAAAUCCCAGAGCUCAACUCUGGAACUGCCUUUGAUACUGGGUAUCUUGAGUAUGGAAGAGGUAAGUGGAAUUCCGAGUGUAGAGGUGAAAUUCGUAGAUAUUCGGAGGAACACCAGUGGCGAAGGCGGCUUACUGGUCCAUUACUGACGCUGAGGUGCGAAAGCGUG